CUGCCGGUGUCAAACCGGAGGAAGGUGGGGAUGACGUCAAGUCCUCAUGGCCUUUAUGUUCGGGGCUGCACACGUGCUACAAUGGCGUGAACAAAGGGACGCAAAGUCGCGAGACCAAGCAAAUCCCAAAAAACACGCCCCAGUUCAGAUCGUAGGCUGCAACUCGCCUGCGUGAAGUCGGAAUCGCUAGUAAUCGCGGGUCAGCAACACCGCGGUGAAUGUGUUCCUGAGCCUUGUACACACCGCCCGUCAAGCCACGAAAAGAUGGAGCGCCCGAAGUCACCUUUACCGGUGCCGAAGGCGAAAUAUCUGAUUGGGACUAAGUCGUAACAAGGUAACC
rnacentral:rRNA from 1 species